CCAAAUUCUUCCUGUUCUUUGGAAGGUUGUUCUCAAGUUCGUUAUAUGCUAUAUUGGUCAUUUCGUAGGCCAUCAAAGACUCGAUAAGUUCUUCGAUCAAAAAGUAUUCAAAUCCUUAGCCUCUUGAAUGACCGUUACUUUAGAGUCCCAAUUUUUAGAAAGAGAUCGCAAAACUUUAUUAACAAGUUCAAAUUCGAAA
rnacentral:lncRNA from 1 species